rnacentral:lncRNA from 1 species
GCAAAAGUUGCACAAAAAUAUGCCGAUGUUUCUCUGAACAUUUAAAAGGACUUACAAUGCAUUUUUGCUCUAGUUGCCGCUAUAAUGAUGACUUCUGGUACUUGGGAGCGGAUUGCAAUUUACAGGUGCACAAAGUUGGAUUUUAUGCUGGAUUGGGAACAGUGGCAGCCAUAGCAGUAAUAACUGUAGCAUUCCUGACAGCUUAUCUCAUUAUAAACAAACGGACGGUGAAGAGGAACAAGGACAUUAAGCAAGAGCUAGUGAAAGAAUGGUUAGAGGAUGACUUUGAAUGGCCACCACAAAAUAAAACAUCAAACACAGCUGACAGAUAUGAUAACCCAGUAUACGCACCAGGAGGCAGACAUACACAGGACAGUUUCGGAAACUAUAAACCAGAUUUCUCUUACACCCAGAAUUUCUCACCUGAACCUGGUAUUCAUCUCCGGUAUCUUCAGAGGGA